AUGAUGGACUGGAGGAGAGGACUGUUACUCAUUUUUAUUUUCUGUGAAGGUGUUGUUGGUCAGACUCUGACACAGUCCGAGUCAGUGGUUAAAAGACCUGGAGAAUCACAUAAACUGACCUGUACGGCCUCUGGAUUCUCACUCACCGGCUACUGGAUGCACUGGAUCAGACAGGCUCCUGGGAAAGGACUGGAGUAUAUCGCUACAGACGCUGGUGGCAACAACUUUUACUCUGAGCCAGUCAGAGGCCGGUUUACUGCCUCCAGAGACUACGACAAACAGCAGCUGUAUCUGUAG